rnacentral:rRNA from 1 species
CCUACGGGUGGCAGCAGUGGGGAAUAUUGCACAAUGGGGGAAACCCUGAUGCAGCGACGCCGCGUGAGCGAUGAAGUAUUUCGGUAUGUAAAGCCCUAUUAGCAGGGAAGCAAAUGCCGGUACUUGACUAAGAAGCCCCGUGUAACUACGUGCCGCCAGCCCGGGUAAUACGGAGGGGGCAAGCGUUAUCCGGAUUUACUGAGUGUAAAGGGAGCGUAGACGGCGGUGCAAGUCAGAUGUGAAAGCCCGGGGCUCAACCCCGGGACUGCAUUUGAAACUGUGCGGCUAGAGUGGCGGAGAGGCAGGCGGAAUGCGUAGUGUAGCGGUGAAAUGCGUAGAUAUUAGGAAGAACACCAGUGGCGAAGGCGGCCUGCUGGACGAUGACUGACGUUGAGGCUCGAAAGCGUGGGGAGCAAACAGGAUUAGAUACCCCAGUAGUC